UCAUGCACUUCACAUCCUCAUCCGCUACCUUCGAUGUCUCCAAUCUCACCACAAUCCCCAACUGCAAUUCGUCGUCCUCAUUCGACACAUUUGGUGGCUCCAGUCUAUUGCUGCUUGCAUUAGCAUCCAUACUCAUUUCAUGUGUAGGAGCUACUGCGUCCCCCAGCGCCAAUUCAUCCCCUGCCUUUGAAUGAUCCAGGCCCCUUACAUCCGCAUCCGCCACCUUUGAUGUCUCCAAUCUCUCCACAUUCCCCAACUGCAAUUCAUCGUCCUCAUCCGCCACAUUUGGUGGCUCCAGUCUAUUGCUGCUUGCAUUAGCAUCCACAUCCCCCUUCGCAUCCUCACCCACCACCUUUGAUGUAUCAGGUGACUUGUUCAUUGCAUUAGCAUCUGCAUCCCCUGACUCCAAUUCGACAUCCAAGCUCAUGACCUUUGCAUCCUCAUUCACCACCUUCAAUGUAUCCGGUGAAUUGUUGCUUGCAUUAGGAUCUAUAUCCCGCAACUCCAAUUCGACAUCCAAGCCCUUUGCAUCCUCAUCCAUCACCUUCAAUGUAUCUGGUGACUUGCUCCCUGCAUUAACAUCCGCAUCCCCUGACUCCAUCUCGACAUCCAAUCCCUUUGCAUCCUCAUCAAUCACCUUCGAUGUAUCCGGUGACUUGCUCCCUGCAUCAGCAUCCGCAUCCCCUGACUCCAUCUCGAUAUCGAAUCCCUUUGCAUCCUCAUCCAUCACCUUCGAUGUAUCCGGUGACUUGCUCCCUGCAUUAGCAUCCGCAUCCCCUGACUCCAUCUCGACAUCCAAGCUCAUGCCCUUUGCAUCCCCAUCCAACACCAUUGAUG
rnacentral:lncRNA from 1 species